UACGUGAGGGGCAAGCGUUGUCCGGAAUUUAUUGGGCGUAAAGGAGCGCGUAGGCGGUCCGGUAAGUCGGCUGGUGAAAGUCAAGGGCUCAACCCUUGAAAGCCGGCCGAUACUGUCGGACUAGAGUCCGGAAGAGGCGAGUGGAAUUCCCGGUGUAGCGGUGAAAUGCGCAGAUAUCGGGAGGAACACCAAUGGCGAAGGCAGCUCGCUGGGACGGUA
rnacentral:rRNA from 1 species